rnacentral:tRNA from 1 species
CUCUCGAUAGCUCAGCUGGAAGAGCGCAAGACUGUAACGGACAACGCACAAGCCUGUCAAACCUCAUCUUGAGGCCCGCGGUUCGAUCCCGCGUCGGGAGA